CCACUGGAAACGAUGGCUAAUACCGCAUAACGUCUACGGACCAAAGAGGGGGACCUUCGGGCCUCUCGCUUCAGGAUAUGCCCAGGUGGGAUUAGCUAGUUGGUGAGGUAAUGGCUCACCAAGGCGACGAUCCCUAGCUGGUCUGAGAGGAUGAUCAGCCACACUGGAACUGAGACACGGUCCAGACUCCUACGGGAGGCAGCAGUGGGAAUAUUGCACAAUGGGCGCAAGCCUGAUGCAGCCAUGCCGCGUGUAUGAAGAAGGCCUUCGGGUUGUAAAGUACUUUCAGCAGUGAGGAAGGUUCAUGCGUUAAUAGCGUAUGGAUUUGACGUUAGCUGCAGAAGAAGCACCGGCUAACUCCGUGCCAGCAGCCGCGGUAAUACGGAGGGUGCGAGCGUUAAUCGGAAUUACUGGGCGUAAAGCGCAUGCAGGUGGUUUGUUAAGUCAGAUGUGAAAGCCCGGGGCUCAACCUCGGAACCGCAUUUGAAACUGGCAGGCUAGAGUACUGUAGAGGGGGGUAGAAUUUCAGGUGUAGCGGUGAAAUGCGUAGAGAUCUGAAGGAAUACCAGUGGCGAAGGCGGCCCCCUGGACAGAUACUAACACUCAGAUGCGAAAGCGUGGGGAGCAAACAGGAUUAGAUACCCUGGUAGUCCACGCCGUAAACGAUGUCUACUUGGAGGUUGUGGCCUUGAGCCGUGGCUUUCGGAGCUAACGCGUUAAGUAGACCGCCUGGGGAGUACGGUCGCAAGAUUAAAACUCAAAUGAAUUGACGGGGGCCCGCACAAGCGGUGGAGCAUGUGGUUUAAUUCAAUGCAACGCGAAGAACCUUACCUACUCUUGACAUCCAGAGAACUUUCCAGAGAUGGAUUGGUGCCUUCGGGAACUCUGAGACAGGUGCUGCAUGGCUGUCGUCAGCUCGUGUUGUGAAAUGUUGGGUUAAGUCCCGCAACGAGCGCAACCCUUAUCCUUGUUUGCCAGCGAGUAAUGUCGGGAACUCCAGGGAGACUGCCGGUGAUAAACCGGAGGAAGGUGGGGACGACGUCAAGUCAUCAUGGCCCUUACGAGUAGGGCUACACACGUGCUACAAUGGCGCAUACAGAGGGCGGCCAACCAGCGAUGGUGAGCGAAUCCCAAAAAGUGCGUCGUAGUCCGGAUUGGAGUCUGCAACUCGACUCCAUGAAGUCGGAAUCGCUAGUAAUCGUGAAUCAGAAUGUCACGGUGAAUACGUUCCCGGGCCUUGUACACACCGCCCGUCACACCAUGGGAGUGGGCUGCAAAAGAAGUGGGUAGUUUAACCUGUCGGGGAGGACGCUCACCACUC
rnacentral:rRNA from 1 species